CGUCUAGGCGGGCUUUCAAGUCGAGUGUGAAAUCCCACGGCUCAACCGUGGACCUGCACUUGAUACUGUUGGUCUUGAGUACGGAAGAGGAAAGCGGAAUUCCUGGUGUAGCGGUGAAAUGCGUAGAUAUCAGGAAGAACACCGGUGGCGAAGGCGGCUUUCUGGUCCGAUACUGACGCUGAAGCGCGAAAGUGUGGGAGCAAACA
rnacentral:rRNA from 1 species